CUGACUGCCGUCAAAUAAGUCAGUAAAACAUAGAUUGAUUAUAUAGUAGGUUAUUUAAACAGACAAUGUUAUCAGGUAUGAAUGCGUGUGGGCUUGUGUGUGAGAGCGCGUGAGAAAGAGCAGCUAGCGCGUGCCCCUGCUUUGCGCGGUUUAACUACAGCAGGUCACUUGAAACACAAACACAAACGCAACGACAGACAACUGAUUAUUUGAAUAGGGACACCGGCCUUUUUCUUGUAUGUUUUGUCAUGAAUAGACCAUCUAUUAUAAGUUAAGACGAUAAAGUGUAUUUCCAAGUCGCACUAGAAGUGUUUAUGAUAUGAACUGAAUAAGAAGGAUAAACAGUAAUGUGGGGAAGGGAUAGUUUUAAUAAAAGAAAUGGACAUGGGAUUUAGGAAUGGCCGGGUGGAUGUAAACAUGAGGGGGAUUUCGUGAAUAACCGAGAUUGGGCUAACCUGAAGAAUGGCACUGGUGUCUUCACAUGGCCAAAGAGAUCAAGCUUUUGGAACAUGUCUCCCAUGAAUCCUCUCCGGAUCCAAUGACAGGAACACCCAAAUAUGAAAGUGGCCAAGAGACGUUUGAAACACCAAGAGAAAUCAACCAAACUGACCAAAGUCUUGAACCGGAGAACCUCAAUAACUUGGAGAAACUUGAAGCUCAAGAGCAAAUAAAAGAGGACACAAAUGAAGAUGAGACACUUCUUCAGCCUGACCCACCAGAGGGCCUCAACAGCUCGGAGGAACCACAACUUCAUCAAAUCAAUCACAAUACAGACCCAAACAAGAAGGUAGUUGUUCAACUUAAACGUUUAGAAGACAGACCAGCAGAAGAACCACAUGUUAUAAAGUCAAGAUCUAUUCAAGUCUUUGAUGAUAAAAUCCCAGUGGGUUCUGUAUCAUGGAAAGAGAAGGAAGCGAAGGCAUUCGUUGACUCUGAGGUUGAGGUGACAAAUCUGGAGACUGAUGAAAACCUGGAAAGGAGCAUCAGAUCAGACGAUCCUACUUUUGAUUCUGCAUGUUCCAUAUAUUCCUGUGACAGAGGAUAUCCUGCAGAAGAGUGCUGA
rnacentral:lncRNA from 1 species